rnacentral:rRNA from 1 species
CUCAAAUUUGAAAUCUGGCUCCUCCGGGGUCCGAGUUGUAAUUUGCAGAGGAUGCUUCGGGUGCGGUCCCCGUCUAAGUACCCUGGAAUGGGUCGUCAUAGAGGGUGAGAAUCCCGUCUGGGACGGGUGGCCGUGUCCGUGUGAAGCUCCUUCGACGAGUCGAGUUGUUUGGGAAUGCAGCUCUAAAUGGGUGGUAAAUUUCAUCUAAAGCUAAAUAUUGGCCGGAGACCGAUAGCGCACAAGUAGAGUGAUCGAAAGAUGAAAAGCACUUUGAAAAGAGAGUUAAACAGCACGUGAAAUUGUUGAAAGGGAAGCGCUUGCGACCAGACUCGCCCGCGGGGGUUCAGCCGGUACUCGUACCGGUGUACUCCCCCGUGGGCGGGCCAGCGUCGGUUUGGGCGGCCGGUCAAAGGCCUCCGGAAUGUAUCGCCCUUCGGGGCGUCUUAUAGCCGGGGGUGCAAUGCGGCCAGCCUGGACCGAGGAACGCGCUUCGGCUCGGACGCUGGCGUAAUGGUCGUAAGCG